rnacentral:rRNA from 1 species
GACGAACGCUGGCGGCGUGCUUAACACAUGCAAGUCGAGCGGUAAGGCCCUUUCGGGGUACGACGAGCGGCGAACGGGUGAGUAACACGUGGGUGACCUCGCCCUUACGCUCUGGGGAGUAAAGCCCGUCGGGAAACGUGGGUCUAAUACCGGAUAUGACUCCAUAACGCAUGUUGUGGGGUGGAAAGCCUUGUGCGGCUAGGAUGGCCCGCGCCUAUCAGCUUGUUGGUGGGGUGAUGG